UACGUAGGGGGCGAGCGUUGUCCGGAAUUAUUGGGCGUAAAGAGCGUGUAGGCGGUUCGGUAAGUCUGCCGUGAAAACCUGGGGCUCAACCCCGGGCGUGCGGUGGAUACUGCCGGGCUAGAGGGUGGUAGAGGCGAGUGGAAUUCCCGGUGUAGCGGUGAAAUGCGCAGAUAUCGGGAGGAACAUCAGUAGCGAAGGCGGCUCGCUGGGCCAUUCCUGACGCUGAGACGCGAAAGCUAGGGGAGCGAACAGG
rnacentral:rRNA from 1 species